rnacentral:lncRNA from 1 species
AUUUUAUUAAUAUUUUUAAUAAGAAUUAAGUUUCUUAUGUGGAAUUAAAGUUAUUUGUUUUUAAUUGGUUUUAGAACAUAGCUCUCUUUUUUGUAUUGGUUUAGGUUAUAUGAGACCUGACCUCUCAUAUAACAUAGUUUCACAUAACACUGUGUAUUAGGAACCUAUCUACCAUGUUAUAAGGGAUACCUGUAUAUUAUUUAUGGUUUUCAGAUGAUAUAUUUUAAUUUAAACAAACAAUAUUUAAAAUAAAAUAAAGAGGAAUUUUUUUGAUGGUGUGAUAAAUGUUAUAAAAUAUGGAUGAAAUCCCAGAUUUGAAAAUAUUAGUAGCAAUUUCUUUAUCCUGUUUGAAUGAAUGUGUUUAUGCCCUCUUCUGGUCUUUUCCCAGAUCUUUGUUUUUUAAAUUGAGGAACUUUGCUUCUCAGGACACAUGGUAUCUGAGAGCUUUUCACAAAUUCUUACAGUCUUUAUAUAUUCAUUUUGAUAAAAUAUCUUCACAAGUUAAAGCAUUUUCAGAUAAGAUGAGAAGUAUUAUUUCACUACUGUCUGAAAUAUCUCAUAUCUUCCUUUAUACUUAUUAGCUGUAUAUAGGAAGCAAAACAAAUGAAUUACAAAUGAAACUUUGUUUGCUAAUUUCAAUAGCAAUUUCCUAAUAAUGGCGAUUUUUGGAACUAAC